UACGUAGGGUGCAAGCGUUGUCCGGAAUUACUGGGUGUAAAGCGCGCGUAGGCGGCUUUGCAAGUCCCAUGUGAAAGCCCACGGCUUAACCGUGGAAGUGCAUGGGAAACUGCAGAGCUUGAGUACUUAAGAGGAUCGCGGAAUUCCCGGUGUAGAGGUGAAAUUCGUAGAUAUCGGGAGGAACACCAGUGGCGAAGGCGGCGAUCUGGGAAGAUACUGACGCUGAGGUGCGAAAGCGUGGGGAGCAAACAGG
rnacentral:rRNA from 1 species